rnacentral:rRNA from 1 species
UACAGAGGUCUCAAGCGUUGUUCGGAUUCAUUGGGCGUAAAGGGUGCGUAGGUGGCGCGGUAAGUCGGGUGUGAAAUCUCGGAGCUUAACUCCGAAAUUGCAUUCGAUACUGCCGUGCUCGAGGACUGGAGAGGAGACUGGAAUUCAUGGUGUAGCAGUGAAAUGCGUAGAGAUCAUGAGGAAGACCAGUGGCGAAGGUGGGUCUCUGGACAGUUCCUGACACUGAGGCACGAAGGCCAGGGGAGCAAACGGG